GAGGGCGUAGCUCAGUUGGUAGAGCAUUCGACUUUUAAUCGAAUGGUCCUGGGUUCGAGUCCCAGCGCCCUCAC
rnacentral:tRNA from 1 species